UUGAGUUUUCGACUCCUUUUCUAUAUACCGUCCAUUCAAUUUUCACUCGCAUCCAAACCCUUUUCUUUGGAUUUUGAGAUCUUCGUUCUUGAAUCUCAUUCAUUUCGGUGAAGAUUUAAGCAGCGAUUUUGCUUCCAAUCGAUCAAUGGCUCUUCUCGGCUUCGCAGUUACCAACGAGGUUAGGGAUAAAAGUUUGAGUGAUUCGCUGCAAACAAUGUUAGAAGGAUAUGACGAGAACUCGAAUGUGGGGAAGCUAUGAUAUUUGGGAUCCUUUAUGCAGGUUGAAUUGCAGCUGCUUCUAUAUCCUCUUGGUUCCAAUGUUGUUCGUACGGCAUGAUAAGCUUCGACUUAAAAACUCCUUCAACACUUGGUCUUAUUUGUCUUAACGCCUUUCCUAGUAGCUUGUUCAGCUUAUUUUCACUUCUUUCUAAGAAAUAUACUAGUGGGAGAUGUUAUUCCAUUAUCUACUGGUUUUCAUUAUGCCUUUUGGCUUGUUUAGUUGCUCUGUAGGGAUUGUCUUACCUGUGAAUUCCCCUUCAAGGCAAUCGAGAAGAAAGAUCAAAAUGAGCAAUAGAAGUGGCUUUUGUAUUGGGCAGGUUGGGGAAAAAAAAAUCUUUUCAGUUCUUUAGCUUUCUUGAUUUUUAAUUUCAAACAAUGGAUUAUCUUGUAUAUUGUGUGUCAUGGAGAAAUAUGCAAGCUCUUGGAGGUUUUGCAGGGUUGGCCUAGUUUUCUAUGGGGCAUGGGAAACAUGUAAAGCAACGUACAAUUUUGUGAGUUUGUAAUCUGUAGGAUCAUUGUGUUGUCCCAUUACGUAUUGCCGUCAGCCUUACGAUUUUAAAAUGCGUGUGUUUGGGAGAGUUUUCCACACCUUAUAAGAGAUGUUUCGUUCUCCUCUCCAACCGACGUUUCCAGUGUACUAUCAUCUGGAGUUGCGUUUCUUGUUUGUCCAGCUCCCAGCAACUCAUGUAUGUACGGGUUUCUGCAUUUUCCCCCAGCAACUGAUUUAAGUAUGGAUUUCUCCAGCAACUGAUGGACAUCAAUAUAGAGCCAGAAAGGAGAUAAACUGAAAGGAAGAAACGCCUAUUCUCCUUCAGAGAUCUCCUGCCAUUUCUUUUCAGCAAAGAACCAAAAUAGACCUUGAACAACACUUAGAGCGACACUUCAGAGAUCUCCUACAUUUAAACCAAAUAUGUUCUGAACUAUAGUCUUCCAUAUCUAUUCGUUGCUUUUCAACACUUAUCGUUGCUCAUUUUCAGGGUGCAGAGAAAUUAUACACGUACCAGCUGCAUCCUCUCUUCCUUGGGCAUACGAUCUUGGGGGCGGUUUCAGAUGAAGUGGUGAAAACCAUUGCUGCACGUCAGCCAGAGAUUCAGUAAUUUAGAACCAUGUUUAUGAGGCUAAUGAGAUCGGGUGAAGACCGUAGCAAUAUCCUGCUUAUUGGUUAAUUUGUAAUUCCAUUUCUUUCAACUCUUUAUCUUAUCUCAACCUCUGGAUCAGUAGAAAGGCUUGGGUUUGCAAGACCAAAUCAGGCUGGAAGGUGCCAACAAAUCGAGGAUCAAAUAAGACUUAAGCUUGGAUUCAGAGUCGGAUAUUGAUGAUCGACUUAUUGCCAACAGUUUCCAUUCGCUGGUGUAGUUGCAACAAUAUCAACCUCCGGUUUCCUGGAAGUUCAUAUAGGUAGCUGCUUGUAAAAAUGAGUUUGCCUCUUAAGAUAGUGUCGAUCAACAGACUUAGUCUUCCUUUUUCCAAUACCUUUCACACAAAACUGAAUACUUAAGGAAAUAUUAGAAUUCUUUUCACAA